rnacentral:rRNA from 1 species
GACGAACGCUGGCGGCGUGCUUAACACAUGCAAGUCGAACGGUAAUGCCCUGUGUUUGUGGGGUGUUUGAGCGGCGAACGGGUGCGUCACACGUGAGUAACCUACCGUUGACUAUAGGAUAACUUAAUGAAACUAGGGUUGAUACCGGAUAGGAGCUCCUGCUGCAUGGAAGGGGUUUGUACGUUUCGGCGGUUUGGGAUGGACUCGCGGCUUAUCGGCUUGUUGGUGGGGUAGUGGCCUACCACGGCUUGGACGGGUAGCCGGCCUGAGAGGGUCACCGGCCACAUUGGGACUGAGGUACGGCCCAGACUCCUACGGGAGGCAGCAGUGGGGAAUAUUGCACAAUGGGCGGAAGCCUGAUGCAGCAACGCCGCGUGCGGGAUGACGGCCUUCGGGUUGUAAACCGCUUUCGGCUGUGACGAAGCGAAAGUGACGGUAAUGGGUAAAGAAGCACCGGCUAACUACGUG